rnacentral:rRNA from 1 species
UACGUAGGGUGCAAGCGUUAAUCGGAAUUACUGGGCGUAAAGCGUGCGCAGGCGGUUAUGUAAGACAGGGGUGAAAUCCCCGGGCUUAACCUGGGAACUGCAUUUGUGACUGCGUAGCUAGAGUACGGUAGAGGGGGAUGGAAUUCCGCGUGUAGCAGUGAAAUGCGUAGAUAUGCGGAGGAACACCGAUGGCGAAGGCAGCCCCCUGGGCUAACACUGACGCUGAUGCACGAAAGCGUGGGGAGCAAACAGG